rnacentral:rRNA from 1 species
GAUGAACGCUGGCGGCGUGCCUAAUACAUGCAAGUCGAGCGAACAGACGAGGAGCUUGCUCCUCUGACGUUAGCGGCGGACGGGUGAGUAACACGUGGAUCACCUACCUAUCAGACUGGGAUAACUUCGGGAAACCGGAGCUAAUACCGGAUCACAUGUUGAACCGCAUGGUUCAACAGUGAAAGACGGUCUUGCUGUCACUUAUAGCUGGAUCCGCGCCGCAUUAGCUAGUUGGUAAGGUCACGGCUUACCAAGGCAACGAUGCGUAGCCGACCUGAGAGGGUGAUCGGCCACACGGGAACUGAGACACGGUCCAGACUCCUACGGGAGGCAGCAGUAGGGAAUCUUCGGCAAUGGGCGAAAGCCUGACGGAGCAACGCCGCGUGAGUGAAGAAGGUCUUCGGAUCGUAAAACUCUGUUAUUAGGGAAGAACAAAUGUGUAAGUAACUAUGCACGUCUUGACGGUACCUAAUCAGAAAGCCACGGCUAACUACGUG